UCUUUUAAAAUGCUGCUUUUAUGAUUUGUUGGAAUUAUAUUCAUAGUGUAUCGUUUUUGGGGGUUUUUUUUGUAAUCUGAUUGUCUAAAGUUACAGUCGGAACUGAAAUAUAAAGAACAGAAAACUAUGAACGACGUACACUGAGAAAGCUGAAGACUAGCAAGGGGCAGGUGCAAUCAAUAGCAAGAGAAACCAGGUGUGAAUGCAGCAGCUGAACAACCACAAACGCCACAAAAGGGAUCGGUGGAAUUUGCCUAGAUGAAACAUUGCCAAAGUCUGGGAAUACACUGGACAGAGAAGUCCAGCAGCACUCAGCACUCCAGCUCAAACUGCACCACCACAUGGCAGGGUUGAAUAAUUCACAGCCCAUGAAUCAUGUUCUCACACUGGAUGCUUGGAUGCGACCUAACUGCUCUCUAUGCUCUCUGUGUGUUUGCGAUGCAUAAUAACCUUGAAUCCAGUACUAAACAAAAGAAGUAGAAGAAAAGAGGAAAAAUGCAAAGAGGAAAAGUCGGGAGACAUGAAUGUCAAACAAAAACAUACUUCCUUUCCUCCUUACAGACUCCAUGCUCCAAUACUGACCUGAAGGAGGUGUCAUGUAAUGUCAUUAUUUUGAGGAAAUCAGUAUUUUUGCUACUUUGUCAAAAAUCCAAAUGCUGUUGCUAAGGAUUGAUUUGUAAAAGAAACAAAACGGGUAAAACAUCAAAGGGGUUGACUUUUUUUUUUUUUUUUUAAAGAGACUGUAUUAUUGUCAAUAGAAUUUCUUGAUAGUAUAUUAUUCUUAUUUUCUGUGUUCUGAUCUCUGUGCAUUUUAUUUUAUUGUUUCUGUGUUGUCUCUGUAAAACCCUGGCUCGUAUUCCCUUUGUAUUCAGCUUCAUCUGUUCAUUGCACUAAUUAGUUAUUUUUUCCUUCUGCUGCCCGCUCAGGACGCUCCCUCAGCUGCUCAGCAUUCUUCUGAUUAGCCUCACCUGGUUUCAAUGUCACUUUUCACACCUCAGUAUUUAGGCCCCUCGAUUCUCGUUGAUCUCUGAUGUUUUCAUGUACUGUUCUCUCUCUGUGUGACAAACCUACAAAGUUUUUCUUUGGUUCAACAUUAAACCCUUAUCUAUUUGUCA